CUUUCAACUCUCGACUGUCCGAA
rnacentral:miRNA from 1 species